AGAGUUUGAUCAUGGCUCAGGACGAACGCUGGCGGCACGCUUGACACAUGCAAGUCGAACGAGAGAAGAGGAGCUUGCUUUUCUGAUCUAGUGGCGGACGGGUGAGUAACACGUGAGCAAUCUGCCUUUCAGAGGGGGAUACCGAUUGGAAACGAUCGUUAAUACCGCAUAACAUAAUUGAACCGCAUGAUUUGAUUAUCAAAGAUUUAUCGCUGAAAGAUGAGCUCGCGUCUGAUUAGCUAGUUGGUAAGGUAACGGCUUACCAAGGCGACGAUCAGUAGCCGGACUGAGAGGUUGAUCGGCCACAUUGGGACUGAGACACGGCCCAGACUCCUACGGGAGGCAGCAGUGGGGAAUAUUGCACAAUGGAGGAAACUCUGAUGCAGCGAUGCCGCGUGAGGGAAGAAGGUUUUAGGAUUGUAAACCUCUGUCUUCAGGGACGAAAAAAGACGGUACCUGAGGAGGAAGCUCCGGCUAACUACGUGCCAGCAGCCGCGGUAAUACGUAGGGAGCGAGCGUUGUCCGGAAUUACUGGGUGUGAAGGGAGCGUAGGCGGGAUCGCAAGUCAGAUGUGAAAACUAUGGGCUUAACCCAUAAACUGCAUUGAAACUGUGGUUCUUGAGUGAAGUAGAGGUAAGCGGAAUUCCUAGUGUAGCGGUGAAAUGCGUAGAUAUUAGGAGGAACAUCAGUGGCGAAGGCGGCUUACUGGGCUUUAACUGACGCUGAGGCUCGAAAGCGUGGGGAGCAAACAGGAUUAGAUACCCUGGUAGUCCACGCCGUAAACGAUGAUUACUAGGUGUGGGGGGACUGACCCCUUCCGUGCCGCAGCAAACGCAAUAAGUAAUCCACCUGGGGAGUACGACCGCAAGGUUGAAACUCAAAGGAAUUGACGGGGGCCCGCACAAGCAGUGGAGUAUGUGGAUUAAUUCGAAGCAACGCGAAGAACCUUACCAGGUCUUGACAUCGUAUGCAUAGCUCAGAGAUGAGAGAAAUCUCUUCGGAGACAUAUAGACAGGUGGUGCAUGGUUGUCGUCAGCUCGUGUCGUGAGAUGUUGGGUUAAGUCCCGCAACGAGCGCAACCCUUACUGUUAGUUGCUACGCAAGAGCACUCUAGCAGGACUGCCGUUGACAAAACGGAGGAAGGUGGGGAUGACGUCAAAUCAUCAUGCCCCUUAUGACCUGGGCCUCACACGUACUACAAUGGCUGUCAACAGAGGGAAGCAAAGCCGCGAGGUGGAGCGAACCCCUAAAAGCAGUCUUAGUUCGGAUUGUAGGCUGCAACCCGCCUACAUGAAGUCGGAAUUGCUAGUAAUCGCAGAUCAGCAUGCUGCGGUGAAUACGUUCCCGGGCCUUGUACACACCGCCCGUCACGCCAUGGGAGUCGGUAACACCCGAAGCCUGUAGUCUAACCGCAAGGAGGACGCAGUCGAAGGUGGGAUUGAUGACUGGGGUGAAGUCGUAACAAGGUA
rnacentral:rRNA from 1 species